GUCAAAGAUGGAGGAAUCAUGGGGAUAGAUCAGACACCAGUAAUCCCAGUGGGUACGCUAAUAAAAUUAGGACCUGAAAAUACUUCAGAAAUAUACUUCUUAUUUGUCCUUCUCCAUUGGGAGGAGAUGCCUUCCAGGAGCCAUACGUUUCUUUUUCAUCUUUGUGUCAGAAGAACACAAGGAGUAAGGGUGGCAUACCCAUCCCCUCCAGAACAUCAAUAUUCAAACGAAAAGGAACCAAUCUCUUUCAUCAGCUCUAGAGAGCUGCAAUUUUAAUCCUCCUCUCUCAUGGAAUAAUGGGAUGCAAACCAAACACGCAAAUUAAUAUUUGUUUUUUUCUAAGUCAGCCGUUCUUGUAUUUUCCCAAAUUUCACUGAAGAAUCUCUCUAUUAAUCUCUCCUUUUCAAAUUCUGAAGUUCUGGGUCUUUUCAUGAGAACAGGGGUUAGGGAGGAGCUGAAUCCCUUCUGCCUAACUCGCCUGUCCUGUGGGUGAGGAUAUGAUUGGGGGAACAGUCCUGCAAGAGGGAGAAUAGAAUGGAGGGAUCAGGGUUGAAGGGAGAAAUCAUUUACAAGGAGCAGCCCCCACCCUUGGAAUCUCAAUGCAAAGGGCAUUGCUAAGUGGGGACAUGAUAGAAGUGUGUCAGUGACUCAUCAUCCGAGGUCAUACUUGGCCCUGGUAAGAAAACGACAGAAUCGAGGGUGUGGGGAACUCCUAAAACUUCAUCAGAAGUCUUGAGAGUAUUUCAGGAGGACAAAAAGAACCAGCUGUCCAGAGAAGAAAUCUGAGCUGAAAUGUUCUAGCUGUUUUUGGCAAAGAUGCAGCUGAGUCUCCACCUUUCUACUGAUCACAGUUCGGGAAAUCACUGCAACUACAAG